rnacentral:lncRNA from 1 species
GCGGUUCCUGAACCGAGACAUAUUCAAGCGAGGCAAAAAGUGAUAGACUUUUUGCCUCGGUUCUGAACUGAGGCAUAAAAGGGUAGAAUAGACUUUUUUAUUUUUUUUAAUUUUUUUUCGUAGCACUUUAUGCCUCGGUUCCCUAUGAACCGAGGCAGUAAGGUCCUUUUUUUUUGUUUCUUUUGCCAGAUUUGUUUUUCUUCUUUU